CCUCGCGUUCAAUCUGGCCACUCCCGAGGCCGGUUCUUCAGCGGGUCCUGGGACCAGCCGCCCCGCACCCCCACCCCUUCCCCGGCCUCGCCAGUGAGGGGCCGGGCUCCCCUCUCCCGUCCCUCCUCUCAGCCCCUCCCCCGCUUCCUUCUCCUUCCCAGUCCUCCUCUUCCUCUUUGUCCCUGCCCCCUUCCCCGGGCGCCAGCGCCCUCCCCAGCAGCCUCGACCUGAAGUCUCGCAGUUGCGAGCUAGCAAGCCUCCCCGGCCACUCGCUGUUGCAGCCAGACACCAUAAACCAAAGAAAAUAAGCUCCCCAAGAAACAUAUUUUUGAAUAAAUAUAACUUUAAAAGAAAGGAAGCACGUUUGAGACCUUGCAUGCUUCUUACAGGAACAAUAGUUACUCCUGAAAAACAGAUGUUUGCAAUGCCAGAAGUUACCACCUGUUCCAAGGAAUUUUAGCCUACCAAACAGAAAGUGUGGCCUUUCUUUAAUAAUGUAUCUCUUGAAAGUAUAAUUUAGUGAAAUGGAAGUGUAUCUGCUAUUUUUAAACCACUGAAUGUAUAUCACGGAUAGACUCGUCUGCCAUCUUUUGUAGAGAUGAUAUUCACUUCAUUUUUGUGUGUUUAUCUAUGUACUUAUUUAUAAGCAAAAUAUACAGUUUUCCUAUUAAUGCUAAA